GAUCCCAUCAGAACUCCGAAGUUAAGUGUGCUUGGGGGAUGGGUGACCUCCCGGGAAGUCCUCGUGUUGCAUCCCUGGAUGCGAUCAUACCAGCACUAACGCACCG
rnacentral:rRNA from 1 species